rnacentral:lncRNA from 1 species
AUGCUUAAUUUAUCACUCCUGGCACUGCAGCUAGAAGUCAUGGGGAAGCUGAGUAUGAUCCAGAGCUCAUCAUCUCAUGUAAAGAGCAGGAAACCUAGUUCUGAAAGUUGCCAGCUGCAGAAGGAGCCUCAGGACCAGUUAAAGCUGCAGGCUGUAACCUGUAUUCAUCCAGCCACUGGCUGUUGGUGCGAGGAUGCAGAGCUGACACAGGAAGAUGGCUGGAUUGCUGGAAUUGCAAGACUGAAACUAGACCUAUUGCCAAUUAAGGCUGGCUUGGGAGGCAGUGAGGGGGAUGGAAGACUUCUGCAUGUCUCAAAAUAGCUUUCAGUGGUGUAAGACCUGUCUAUUGCAAGGAGGAGUAACAAAGGCAAAUUCUUCUGUCAAAAAGAAAAUGUACUCCAAAACUUCAACGCAGAUGGAAAGCCAAAGGGAAGAGCAACAUCAUCCAUGCAACCCCAUCUUUUUGCAGAUGAUUUUUGUACUCAUUCCAAACUGUCCUGGGAGCAGACACUAUAAACUUUGUUCUAUAAAAACUCAACUUUGUUCACCUUAUGAUGAGAAAAUAGCAGAGUAAAUGCCCUCUUGUAUCAUCAGUAAUUGCUGGUGCUUGGAUUUAAUGCCAUGCCUUGGACUUUGAUUGACCUUUGGAUGUCACUGGAAGCAAGGUUUCGAAAAGCACACAGUUCAAGUGAUGCAGCCUCUCAAAAAUACUAUAGGUCCAAAUUCCUGUUGCUGCUGCUAGAGUGAGAAUCCAGGCGAGGCUCUAUAAAGUACAUUUCAAGGCUGCCUUUUUGCUUUGAACUUACAGACAAUGGAAAAAAAAAAUGAACUGAGAUGGACUGGGGCUGAUUUAAUCAGCUUUGUGAAGAAUGUUCUCUGUGGGUAGACAUUUUAUCCAGGAAGGGCAUAGCUUGAUGUUCAGCUGUGAAUUUCUAGGACUUCCAUGAAAAGAGCAUCUCAAUUGUACGAUCUUCUUGCCCAUUUGAUGUUUUUGGGUAAUGUUUCUCCUUAAUGUUAUGCUCUGCUUUAUGGAGAAAAAUCCUGAUGUAUGAUCAUUUAGUUUACAUUCUGCAGGUGGCUGUAAUGAGCCCUGCUAACCUCUCCAUUCUGCCUUUCCGUAUUGCUUUCCUGUCAGUUCACAUUUCAGGGUUUUAUCUGGUAUUUGGAUAAAUCUGUAAUAAAAAAAGAAUCCUUAUUUUGUCA